GGUGUAUCGGGUGUUUCUUGUUGUAUCCAACAUUGUUACCAACUUCAACCUACUGUAGCCACCUCAUCUGGAAUCUAAAUUUAAUUCUGUAAAUUAUGUUCCUUUCUUGCUUCUCUCAAAAUUCUGUAGGAUCUAAUCUUGCUCAAUUUGGAGUCCUGUAGCUUACCUUUUAGGGGUCCUCACAUCAAAAUAUCCAGAAUUUAGAUUGGUUGACUAGAUGGGAGAGAUUAACUGCUUGAUUUAUUUUCUGCACCUCU
rnacentral:lncRNA from 1 species